rnacentral:rRNA from 1 species
CCUACGGGUGGCAGCAGUGAGGAAUAUUGGUCAAUGGACGAGAGUCUGAACCAGCCAAGUAGCGUGAAGGAUGACUGCCCUAUGGGUUGUAAACUUCUUUUAUAUGGGAAUAAAAUGUUCCACGUGUGGGAUUUUGUAUGUACCAUAUGAAUAAGGAUCGGCUAACUCCGUGCCAGCAGCCGCGGUAAUACGGAGGAUACGAGCGUUAUCCGGAUUUAUUGGGUUUAAAGGGUGCGUAGGUGGAUUGUUAAGUCAGUUGUGAAAGUUUGCGGCUCAACCGUAAAAUUGCAGUUGAAACUGGCAGUCUUGAGUACAGUAGAGGUAGGCGGAAUUCGUGGUGUAGCGGUGAAAUGCUUAGAUAUCACGAAGAACUCCGAUUGCGAAGGCAGUUCACUGGACUGCAACUGACGCUGAGGCUCGAAAGUGUGGGUAUCAAACAGGAUUAGAUACCCGUGUAGUC